GGGGUCGUGGUGGAACAGCAGACACGCUUGUCUUAGGAACAAGUGCCUUCGGGCGUGCGGGUGCGAAUCCUGCCGACCUCACCA
rnacentral:tRNA from 1 species